CGGGGAUACGCAGGCUCCCCGUUAAAUGGUCAUCCCAUUCAAGCGCUGC
rnacentral:ncRNA from 1 species